rnacentral:lncRNA from 1 species
ACAAACAACACAAACAAAAUUUCCUAACCCAGUUUGCACUGGGAAGGUUUGUGAGUCGUUAGCAAAAUCGUAGCCCACCGACACUACUGAUGCAAUGCUGAGAGUGAACUAAAUACUAGACUAGGAUGUGCAUCUCCUACAAGUAAAAUCUCAAUUUAGGAAGUGAGUCUCCUAAAAUAAAAUAUAACCUGAAAAAGCCAAGCUAGGAAGCGCGCCUCCUAUUGGUAAGACAUGGAACGUAUUCCCUUGUUAUACAGGUGGGCGCCUGGCUUCAACACUUGAAAUGAAAAGACUGAAAUGUAUUCCUCUCGUUAUACAGGUGGGCGCCUGACAUGAAAAUGUAAAGACUGAAAAGUAUUCCUCUCGUUAUACAGGUGGGCGCCUGGCUUCAACACUUGAAAUGAAAAGACUGAAAUGUAUGCCUCUGUUCUAUGGGCGGGCUCCCAACUUCAACACUUGUAAUGAAAAAAACUGAAAUGUAUUCCGCU